rnacentral:rRNA from 1 species
GAUGAACGCUGGCGGCGUGCCUAAUACAUGCAAGUCGAGCGAACAGACGAGGAGCUUGCUCCUCUGACGUUAGCGGCGGACGGGUGAGUAACACGUGGAUAACCUACCUAUAAGACUGGGAUAACUUCGGGAAACCGGAGCUAAUACCGGAUAAUAUAUUGAACCGCAUGGUUCAAUAGUGAAAGACGGUUUUGCUGUCACUUAUAGAUGGAUCCGCGCCGCAUUAGCUAGUUGGUAAGGUAACGGCUUACCAAGGCAACGAUGCGUAGCCGACCUGAGAGGGUGAUCGGCCACAGUGGAACUGAGACACCGUCCAGAAUCCUACGGGAGGCAGCAGUAGGGAAUCUUCCGAAAUGGGCGAAAGCCUGACGGAGCAACGCCGCGUGAGUGAUGAAGGUCUUCGGAUCGUAAAACUCUGUUAUUAGGGAAGAACAAAUGUGUAAGUAACUAUGCACGUCUUGACGGUACCUAAUCAGAAAGCCACGGCUAACUACGUG